rnacentral:rRNA from 1 species
AAUCAACGCUGGCGGCGUGCCUCAGACAUGCAAGUCGAACGUGAAAGGCUUCUUCGGAAGCCGAGUAAAGUGGCGCACGGGUGAGUAACACGUGAGUAAUCUGCCUUCACGGUGGGGGAUACCAAUCGGAAACGGUUGUUAAUACCGCAUAAUGCAGCGGCAUCAUAAGAUGACAGUUGUUAAAGCGGGGGAGCGAAGCAAUUCGUCCUCGCGCUGGAAGAGGAGCUCGCGGCAGAUUAGGUAGUUGGUGAGGUAACGGCUCACCAAGCCUGCGAUCUGUAACCGGCCUGAAAGGGCGGUCGGUCACACUGACACUUAGAUACGGGUCAGACUCCUACGGGAGGCAGCAGUC